rnacentral:rRNA from 1 species
AUAAUGGGUCAGCGACUUAUAUUCUGUAGCAAGGUUAACCGAAUAGGGGAGCCGAAGGGAAACCGAGUCUUAACUGGGCGUUAAGUUGCAGGGUAUAGACCCGAAACCCGGUGAUCUAGCCAUGGGCAGGUUGAAGGUUGGGUAACACUAACUGGAGGACCGAACCGACUAAUGUUGAAAAAUUAGCGGAUGACUUGUGGCUGGGGGUGAAAGGCCAAUCAAACCGGGAGAUAGCUGGUUCUCCCCGAAAGCUAUUUAGGUAGCGCCUCGUGAAUUCAUCUCCGGGGGUAGAGCACUGUUUCGGCAAGGGGGUCAUCCCGACUUACCAACCCGAUGCAAACUGCGAAUACCGGAGAAUGUUAUCACGGGAGACACACGGCGGGUGCUAACGUCCGUCGUGAAGAGGGAAACAACCCAGACCGCCAGCUAAGGUCCCAAAGUCAUGGUUAAGUGGGAAACGAUGUGGGAAGGCCCAGACAGCCAGGAUGUUGGCUUAGAAGCAGCCAUCAUUUAAAGAAAGCGUAAUAGCUCACUGGUCGAGUCGGCCUGCGCGGAAGAUGUAACGGGGCUAAACCAUGCACCGAAGCUGCGGCAGCGACGCUGAUGCGUUGUUGGGUAGGGGAGCGUUCUGUAAGCCUGUGAAGGUGUGCUGUGAGGCAUGCUGGAGGUAUCAGAAGUGCGAAUGCUGACAUAAGUAACGAUAAAGCGGGUGAAAAGCCCGCUCGCCGGAAGACCAAGGGUUCCUGUCCAACGUUAAUCGGGGCAGGGUGAGUCGACCCCUAAGGCGAGGCCGAAAGGCGUAGUCGAUGGGAAACAGGUUAAUAUUCCUGUACUUGGUGUUACUGCGAAGGGGGGACGGAGAAGGCUAUGUUGGCCGGGCGACGGUUGUCCCGGUUUAAGCGUGUAGGCUGGUUUUCCAGGCAAAUCCGGAAAAUCAAGGCUGAGGCGUGAUGACGAGGCACUACGGUGCUGAAGCAACAAAUGCCCUGCUUCCAGGAAAAGCCUCUAAGCAUCAGGUAACAUCAAAUCGUACCCCAAACCGACACAGGUGGUCAGGUAGAGAAUACCAAGGCGCUUGAGAGAACUCGGGUGAAGGAACUAGGCAAAAUGGUGCCGUAACUUCGGGAGAAGGCACGCUGAUAUGUAGGUGAAGUCCCUCGCGGAUGGAGCUGAAAUCAGUCGAAGAUACCAGCUGGCUGCAACUGUUUAUUAAAAACACAGCACUGUGCAAACACGAAAGUGGACGUAUACGGUGUGACGCCUGCCCGGUGCCGGAAGGUUAAUUGAUGGGGUCAGCGCAAGCGAAGCUCUUGAUCGAAGCCCCGGUAAACGGCGGCCGUAACUAUAACGGUCCUAAGGUAGCGAAAUUCCUUGUCGGGUAAGUUCCGACCUGCACGAAUGGCGUAAUGAUGGCCAGGCUGUCUCCACCCGAGACUCAGUGAAAUUGAACUCGCUGUGAAGAUGCAGUGUACCCGCGGCAAGACGGAAAGACCCCGUGAACCUUUACUAUAGCUUGACACUGAACAUUGAGCCUUGAUGUGUAGGAUAGGUGGGAGGCUUUGAAGUGUGGACGCCAGUCUGCAUGGAGCCGGCCUUGAAAUACCACCCUUUAAUGUUUGAUGUUCUAACGUUGACCCGUUAUCCGGGUUGCGGACAGUGUCUGGUGGGUAGUUUGACUGGGGCGGUCUCCUCCUAAAGAGUAACGGAGGAGCACGAAGGUUGGCUAAUCCUGGUCGGACAUCAGGAGGUUAGUGCAAUGGCAUAAGCCAGCUUGACUGCGAGCGUGACGGCGCGAGCAGGUGCGAAAGCAGGUCAUAGUGAUCCGGUGGUUCUGAAUGGAAGGGCCAUCGCUCAACGGAUAAAAGGUACUCCGGGGAUAACAGGCUGAUACCGCCCAAGAGUUCAUAUCGACGGCGGUGUUUGGCACCUCGAUGUCGGCUCAUCACAUCCUGGGGCUGAAGUAGGUCCCAAGGGUAUGGCUGUUCGCCAUUUAAAGUGGUACGCGAGCUGGGUUUAGAACGUCGUGAGACAGUUCGGUCCCUAUCUGCCGUGGGCGCUGGAGAACUGAGGGGGGCUGCUCCUAGUACGAGAGGACCGGAGUGGACGCAUCACUGGUGUUCGGGUUGUCAUGCCAAUGGCACUGCCCGGUAGCUAAAUGCGGAAGAGAUAAGUGCUGAAAGCAUCUAAGCACGAAACUUGCCCCGAGAUGAGUUCUCCCUGACUCCUUGAGAGUCCUGAAGGAACGUUGAAGACGACGACGUUGAUAGGCCGGGUGUGUAAGCGCAGCGAUGCGUUGAGCUAACCGGUACUAAUGAACCGUGAGGCUUAACCUUACAACGCCGAAGGUGUUU